GUUGUACGUCAUUGCUGCAGAUAAAGUUAUCCCAGUGAGCUGGCAUACAUCUGAUGACUCUUCCAAAAAUGAGGCCACUCCAAGACUUUUCGCGUUUGAUGUUGGUGCUUAUACUUCCAAAUCUCGCCAGUUCGUUUGUUCUGGACAGCGAGUGUGUAGCUCCGGCUCCAUGUACUUGUUCUGGGAGUAACAUUCAGUGCUCUUCUAAAAACCUACAGACUGUACCGCAAU